rnacentral:rRNA from 1 species
UACGUAGGGGGCAAGCGUUGUCCGGAUUUAUUGGGCGUAAAGAGCGUGUAGGCGGCCAGGUAGGUCCGUUGUGAAAACUCGAGGCUCAACCUCGAGACGCCGAUGGAAACCAUCUGGCUAGAGUCCGGAAGAGGAGAGUGGAAUUCCCGGUGUAGCGGUGAAAUGCGCAGAUAUCAGGAGGAACACCGGUGGCGAAGGCGGUUCUCUGGGCAUUACCUGACGCUGAGGAGCGAAAGUGUGGGGAGCGAACAGG